ACGCUGGCGGCGUGCUUAACACAUGCAAGUCGAACGGGGCGAAGUGAUAGCUUGCUAUUAUGGAGCCUAGUGGCAAACGGGUGAGUAACGCGUAGGCAACCUGCCCUUCAGAUGGGGACAACACCUCGAAAGGGGUGCUAAUACCGAAUGACGUUUCCUAGUCGCAUGACCUGGAAACCAAAGGCCGGGCAACCGGUCACUGAAGGAUAGGCUCGCGUGACAUUAGCUAGACGGCGGGGUAACGGCCCACCGUGGCUACGAUGUCUAGGGGUUCUGAGAGGAAGGUCCCCCACACUGGAACUGAGACACGGUCCAGACUCCUACGGGAGGCAGCAGUGAGGAAUAUUGGUCAAUGGCCGGGAGGCUGAACCAGCCAAGUAGCGUGAAGGAUGAAGGUUCUAUGGAUUGUAAACUUCUUUUAUACGGGACGAAGAACGUGACGGUACCUGGAGAAAAAGCCACGGCUAACUACGUG
rnacentral:rRNA from 1 species